GUCGUCACCGCCACCGAUCCCCUUAAAGUAUACCUAUAAUAUCCACAGGGAAAUCUGUUAAUUGCUUAUUUCGUGUGCCCGCCAAUAAUACCUCUCCAUUGUCCAAAACGAGCCACUUAGAGGAGUGUCCGUACGAACCACCUCAGACAUCCAUUAUUUUACCCCUCUAGACAACGCGCUAUUUGAUGACAAGUCUAAAUUACCACAUCGUUUGAAACUGCUAAGAAUCAUCGACAGAAUAACUAUCACUCAUUGAAAGAUCACAUUGCCAGCGACACAAAGUUUUGUUUAAUUUUUGACUUGUGAGGAAUGCCAACAAUGCUGAAAUGUGUUUUAAAAAUGAACGAUCCAGAAAUCGGGGACUAUUACCUUCGUAUGCCCAACAUUCAAACAUUUCAUGAUGUCUAAAAAAAACGGUUGUUGUACAUCACAGGCGUACAAAAAUUGUUUAAAACCUUUGAAGCAGAAGAACAAAUACAUAUUUAUUCGACUGGUCGAUUUUUUGACUCCAGAACACAAUUUUUUAAUCAUGAAAAUGCACAUAAAGAAAUAGUGGAUUAUGACCCAUCAAAAUUUGUCACCAUGACAUUUAAUUAAUUUUUUUUUGUUUUCACU